rnacentral:misc_RNA from 1 species
AUUAUUAUUAUUAUUAUUUUAUUUCUUUAUUUUAUGCUCUUCUUGUUUUUGUCUUUAUAGAAUUUCAUAGUAUUCUUAACAUAUUUACAUAAAAAUUAAGUUGAUGUGAGGCGUUCCUUUUAUUCUGGUAACUAGUGUUUUAUUUAUUUAUUUUUGAUAAAAUUAGAGUCAAUUAAAUUUUAAUUUAAUUAUAUUUUGCAUGUAAA